CCUACGUGAGGCAGCAGUGAGGAAUAUUGGUCAAUGGGCGCGAGCCUGAACCAGCCAAGUAGCGUGAAGGAUGACUGCCCUACGGGUUGUAAACUUCUUUUAUAAAGGAAUAAAGUGAGGCACGUGUGCCUUUUUGUAUGUACUUUAUGAAUAAGGAUCGGCUAACUCCGUGCCAGCAGCCGCGGUAAUACGUAGGAUCCGAGCGUUAUCCGGAUUUAUUGGGUUUAAAGGGAGCGUAGAUUGGUUGUUAAGUCAGUUGUGAAAGUUUGCGGCUCAACCGUAAAAUUGCAAUUGAUACUGGCAGUCUUGAGUACAGUUGAGGGAGGCGGAAUUCGUGGUGUAGCGGUGAAAUGCUUAGAUAUCACGAAGAACUCCGAUUGCGAAGGCAGCUUACUAAACUGCCACUGACAUUGAUGCUCGAAAGUGUGGGUAUCAAACAGGAUUAGAUACCCGUGUAGUC
rnacentral:rRNA from 1 species